ACCCGUUGAUCCUGCGGGAGGUUGCUGCUAUUAGGAUUCGACUAAGCCAUGCAUGUCCUGGCGCUCUUCGGAGUACCGGCAAAAUGCUCAGUAACACGUCGAUAAUCUGCCCUUAGGACCGGGAUAACCUUGGGAAACUGAGGAUAAUACCGGAUAGAUGAUUUGUUCUGGAAUGAUAUUUCAUUUAAACAUUAGGCCUAAGGAUGAGUCGGCGGCCGAUUAGGUUGUUGGUGAGGUAAUGGCCCACCAAGCCUUGGAUCGGUAAGGGCCGUGAGAGCGGGAGCCCUGAGAAGGGAACUGAGAUACUGUCCCUAGCCCUAAGGGGUGCAGCAGGCGCGAAACCUCUACAAUGCACGAAAGUGUGAUAGGGGGAUCCUAAGUGCUUAUACUUUGUAUAGGCUUUUUUUAAGAUUAAAAAUCUUAGAGAAUAAGUGGUGGGUAAGACUGGUGCCAGCCGCCGCGGUAACACCAGCGCCACGAGUGGCAACCAUAUUUAUUGGGCCUAAAGCGUCCGUAGCCGGAUUGGUAAAUCUUUUGUGAAAUCGUUAAGCUCAACUUAACGGCGUGCAGAAGACACUGCCUUUCUAGGAAUCGGGAAGAGUCAGAGGUAUUCUUGGGGGAGCGGUAAAAUGCUAUAAUCCCAGGAGGACCACCUGUGGCGAAGGCGUCUGACUGGAACGAAUUCGACGGUGAGGGACGAAAGCCAGGGGAGCAAACCGGAUUAGAUACCCGAGUAGUCCUGGCCGUAAACGCUGCGAGCAAGGUGUUGCAUAAUCUUCGAGAUUAUGCAGUGUCGAAACGAAGGUGUUAAGCUCGCCGCCUGGGAAGUACGGUCGCAAGGCUGAAACUUAAAGGAAUUGGCGGGGGAGCACCACAAGGGGUGCGGCGUGCGUUUAAUCUAAUUCUACGCAGAAAAUCUCACCAGGGGCGACGGCAGGAUGAAAGUCAGUCUGAAGGGCUUACUUGACGAGCCGAGAGGUAGUGCAUGGCCGCCGUCAGCUCGUGCUGUAAAGUGUCCUGUUAAGUCAGGCAACGAGCGAGACCUGUGCCCAUAAUUGCUAACGACCAAAUCUUGGGAUCGAGCACAUUAUGGGGACUGCCUACGAAAGUAGGAGGAAGGUGCAGGCUACGGUAGGUCUGUAUGCUCCGAAUCCUUUGGGCUACACGCGCGCAACAAUGGUACAGACAAUGGGCUGCAACUCCGAAAGGAGGAGCUAAUCCUCGAAACUGUAUCCAAGUCCAGAUUGAGGCUUGUAACUCAGCCUCAUGACGAUGGAAUCCCUAGUAAUCGGACUUCAUUACAGUCCGGUGAAUAUGUCCCUGCUCCUUGCACACACCGCCCGUCAAACCAACCGAGCAGGGUUUUGAUAAGAUGUGGUUUUAUUGACCAUAUCGAAUCUAAGCUCAGUGAGGUGGGUUAAGUCGUCACAAGGUA
rnacentral:rRNA from 1 species